rfam:Trachymyrmex septentrionalis contig23847, whole genome shotgun sequence.
UCCUCCUGAAAGACAUGGGUAGUGAGAUGUUCUUACGCAAUCGCGUCUCACUAUCUUGUCUUUCAUGCGGCG